GUCAAGAUGAAAACCGUGCCCCAUAUAAUCCCGAGAAUAUGGCUCAGGAGUCUCUACCCAACGACCGUAAAUCGUUGGACUAUGGGGAAAGAGCAGACACCU
rnacentral:ncRNA from 2 species